rnacentral:rRNA from 1 species
AAUUGGAGGGCAAGUCUGGUGCCAGCAGCCGCGGUAAUUCCAGCUCCAAUAGCGUAUAUUAAAGUUGUUGCAGUUAAAAAGCUCGUAGUUGAAUUUCGGGAUCAAUAUUUCGGUCAUGCCGUUGGUAUGCACUGUUAUCAUUGAUUUCUCACCUUCUAAAGAACCGUAAUGCCAUUAAUUUGGUGUUACGGGGAAUUAGGACUGUUACCUUGAAAAAAUUAGAGUGUUUAAAGCAGGCUCACGCUUGAAUACAUUAGCAUGGAAUAAUGAAAUAGGACAUCCGAUUCUAUUUUGUUGGUUUCUAGGAUCGACGUAAUGAUUAAUAGGGAUAGUUGGGGGCAUUAGUAUUCAAUUGUCAGAGGUGAAAUUCUUGGAUUUAUUGAAGACUAACUACUGCGAAAGCAUUUGCCAAGGAUGUUUUCAUUAAUCAAGAACGAAAGUUAGGGGAUCGAAGACGAUCAGAUACCGUCGUAGUCUUAACCAUAAACUAUGCCGACUAGGGAUCGGAUGAUGUUAAUUUUUUAAUGACUCAUUCGGCGCCUUACGGGAAACCAAAGUGU